AAUUUAAAACAUGUGCAAUUUCUGACAAGAGCGGGAAAACCUUUCUUGCACACUAGUGCUGCAAGAUCGGAGGCAUCAAAGCGAUUACAGAAUGCUUGGACUGCUAGCCUCAGCGGGAGGGCACGCUUCCAACUGCCACCUCCUUCCAGGGACAGUGGCACUAGUUUAGUACCGGGAAGCCUUGGGAACAGGCAAUGCAUUUGAGGGCACAUUCAAAUGUCUGCCUUCCCCUUCCGGGACAGAUGACAGAGGAGUUUGCACACGGACGGUUUUAUUUUUACCCCGUAUUUCUGGAGAAAGCUUAAUGGCUUCGAGUACUCCUUUCUCUUCAUGAAAUUUAAAAGGGGCGGGGGGGGAGCACUCAUAAUUAUAAUCCCACAGCAGGGCAGUUGGCUUGCCUCUGACUAUUAGGUCCCAUUAAAGAUGUAUUAUGUGUGGUGUCUCAGGAGAAAUUCCUACUUAUUUAUGCUUAGUAUUAGGGCAAAUAUUAGUUACCAUCAAAACAGGAUGCAGUUAAGUCUAAUCUGAUGUCACCAGCAGAGUCUGUCUUAUAAACAAAAUAAGUGGCAAUUACUUUCAAGCUGAACUAAUAAUUUUUUUUUUCUCAAGCCAUUCCAUUUUGCGUUCACGGGCAGCGGCCGUGGACGGAAGCGGAAGCCGUUCUGCCUCCCCAGCAGCCCAGAAGUUUGAUUCAUGCUACCUGGUGCUCCAAAUCUACUGGAAAACGACUGCUUUCCCACACGGAAAGAUGCCUCUUGUGAGAAAGAUGGGAAGACCCAGCGGAGGAUGAGGGUGGGGCGUCAGCUUGGAAGAAAGGAUCCAGCAGUCAUCUGGAUACAGAUACAGGUGCAGUUUUCUCUCUCUUUGAGCUGUUCUCACUGUCCACAGAAGACUGGUUCCAGAAUCUCCCAAGAACACUAAAAUAUGAGAAUGCUCAAGUCCCUUCAAUAAAACAGCACAAUACUACAGA
rnacentral:sRNA from 1 species